rnacentral:tRNA from 1 species
CCAAUAGAAACAAAUCUAUUCAAUGAACAAAAAGGAGAGAGAGGGAUUCGAACCCUCGAUAGUUCUUUGUUCAAAACUAUACCGGUUUUCAAG